AAUCAACGCUGGCGGCGUGCCUAACACAUGCAAGUCGAACGCGAAAGUCCCGCAAGGGAUGAGUAGAGUGGCAAACGGGUGAGUAACACGUGGGUGACCUGCCUUCGAGCGGGGGAUAACGUCCCGAAAGGGACGCUAAUACCGCAUGACAUCCUGCCUUUGAAGAGGUGGAGAUCAAAGCUGGGGAUCGCAAGACCUAGCACUUGAAGAGGGGCCCGCGCCUGAUUAGCUAGUUGGUGGGGUAACGGCUCACCAAGGCGACGAUCAGUAUCCGGCCUGAGAGGGCGGACGGACACACUGGGACUGAGACACGGCCCAGACUCCUACGGGAGGCAGCAGUGGGAAUUGUUCGCAAUGGGCGCAAGCCUGACGACGCAACGCCGCGUGGAGGACGAAGA
rnacentral:rRNA from 1 species